rnacentral:rRNA from 1 species
GCUUGCUGAAUACACGACCGGCGCACGGGUGAGUAACACGUUUGCACCUACCUCUAACUGGAGGAUAGCCCGAAGAAAUUCGGAUUAAUAUCCCAUAAAGUCAAUUUAAGGCAUCUUUUAUUGAUUAAAGCUCCGGCGGUUAGAGAUGGGCAUGCGUGUCAUUAGCUAGUUGGUGAGGUAACGGCUCACCAAGGCCACGAUGACUAGGGGGUCUGAGAGGAUGAUCCCCCACACUGGUACUGAGACACGGACCAGACUCCUACGGGAGGCAGCAGUGAGGAAUAUUGGGCAAUGGACGCAAGUCUGACCCAGCCAUGCCGCGUGCAGGAUGACUGCCCUAUGGGUUGUAAACUGCUUUUGUUUGGGAAGAAACCCCCGAUCGUGAUCGGGGCUGACGGUACCAUACGAAUGAGCAUCGGCUAACUCCGUGCCAGCAGCCGCGGUAAUACGGAGGAUGCAAGCGUUAUCCGGAUUCAUUGGGUUUAAAGGGUGCGCAGGCGGAAUAUUAAGUCAGUGGUGAAAUCCUGCAGCUUAACUGUAGAACUGCCAUUGAUACUGAUAAUUCUUGAAUAUAGUUGAGGUGGGCGGAAUGUGUAAUGUAGCGGUGAAAUGCUUAGAUAUUACACAGAACACCAAUUGCGAAGGCAGCUCACUAAACUAAUAUUGACGCUGAGGCACGAAAGCGUGGGUAGCAAACAGGAUUAGAUACCCUGGUAGUCCACGCUGUAAACUAUGAUCACUCGCUGUUGGCAAUACAUCGUCAGCGGCUGAGCGAAAGCAUUAAGUGAUCCACCUGGGGAGUACGGUCGCAAGAUUGAAACUCAAAGGAAUUGACGGGGGCCCGCACAAGCGGAGGAACAUGUGGUUUAAUUCGAUGAUACGCGAGGAACCUUACCUGGGCUUAAAUGCAGAGCGACGUCCGCCGAAAGGUGGAUUCCUUCGGGCGAUCUGCAAGGUGCUGCAUGGUUGCCGUCAGCUCGUGCCGUGAGGUGUCGGGUUAAGUCCCAUAACGAGCGCAACCCUUAUCGUUAGUUGCCAGCGGGUAAUGCCGGGGACUCUAACGAAACUGCCGGUGUAAACCGUGAGGAAGGUGGGGAUGACGUCAAAUCAGCACGGCCCUUAUGUCCAGGGCUACACACGUGUUACAAUGGUCGGUACAGAGGGCAGCUACCACGCGAGUGGAUGCUAAUCUCGAAAACCGGUCUCAGUUCGGAUUGAAGUCUGCAACUCGACUUCAUGAAGCUGGAUUCGUUAGUAAUCGCGCAUCAGCCAUGGCGCGGUGAAUACGUUCCCGGGCCUUGUACACACCGCCCGUCAAGCCAUGGAAGCUUGGGGUACCUGAAGUCCGUAACCGCAAGGA